rnacentral:lncRNA from 1 species
GGAGACCAAUAAAAAAAUCUAGAUAACUUUAUAGUUAACCAAUUAAUCAUGCAAUUGCUAAAAUUUAUAUGUAUCAUAUUAAUAAUUAUAAAAGACAACUAAUUAUAUUUAAUGCAUCAUUUUAUUAAAUAUAUCUAGGAUAAUUUUUUUACUUGGUAUAUUAAAAUUUAAUGUCUCAAAUGAUUAUUUUCAAAUUUAAAAUUUUAUUUCUAUUUAAGUAGAAUCCAAGGAUUAUGGAAGAAAUUAUCUCCAUUCAAAGUGUUCACUAUGUGGGAUGUCUAGUUUUUUUUCUAUUCAUAAGGUAAUUUUCAUGUUCUACAUUUUAUUAUCAUGUUAGGAUAUAUUUUACUCUUUACCAAGAGCAUAAGAGAUUGUGCUUCUCGCAUAACAGUAAUUUCUCAAUUCAAGAUUAUGCUUAUUGACAUGAGGCCUACAUUAGCUAUGCUAUUACUAGGUUAACACUCGCUAUCAUGACAUGAUGAAUAGAAGAAUAAUAAGCUCUACCACUAAGAAUGUGUACUAU